GCAGAGGAAGGGGAAUGGAUCACCGAGGAGUGAGGAAGGCGGUGGUCGGAUACGCAGUAAGGUAUCCUCAAGUUCGAUUCCGGAAAGCAUCACCAGGGAAGAUCCACAUUCUAAGUAUGAAUUGCUCAACGAACUUGGAAAGGGGUCCUAUGGGGCUGUAUAUAAAGCAAGAGAUAUUAAGACCUCUGAGCUGGUUGCUAUCAAGGUCAUUUCUUUAUGUGAAGGGGAGGAAGGAUAUGAAGAAAUUCGUGGUGAAAUUGAGAUGUUGCAGCAAUGCAGUCAUCCGAAUGUUGUCCGCUAUCUUGGGAGCUAUCAAGGAGAAGAGUAUCUAUGGAUAGUAAUGGAGUACUGU
rnacentral:misc_RNA from 1 species